UCCUCGAUAGCUCAGCGGUAGAGCAGACGGCUGUUAACCGUAAGGUCCAAGGUUCGAAUCCUUGUCGGGGAG
rnacentral:tRNA from 1 species